CUGCCUACGGGGGGCAGCAGUAGGGACUCUUCCACAAUGGACGAAAGUCUGAUGGAGCAACGCCGCGUGAGUGAAGAAGGGUUUCGGCUCGUAAAGCUCUGUUGGUAGUGAAGAAAGAUAGAGGUAGUAACUGGCCUUUAUUUGACGGUAAUUACUUAGAAAGUCACGGCUAACUACGUGCCAGCAGCCGCGGUAAUACGUAGGUGGCAAGCGUUGUCCGGAUUUAUUGGGCGUAAAGCGAGUGCAGGCGGUUUCAUAAAGAUUGUGUUAAA
rnacentral:rRNA from 1 species